CAGCACCCUCCUUAUUAGGUUUCCCAUGAUGCAAUGACUAUCUGUCAUGGCAGCACACUGAUGUCACUCACAGUACAUGGGUUGAAAUACACAAAUGUAUACCAUUGACUUGAAAUAACCUACAUUACAGCAGUAAGGGUAUAUAUUGUCAAUUUACAAUUAUGCCGAUCCCGGUUGGAAACAGUAUUGACUUCAUUGUCAGACUGCUUGCAAAUCACAUUUGGGGAUGUUGCGGGACGCUGAGAUUCCCGUGCUCCGGGGUUUUCUGCAACCAAGCGGCGAGGCAACUGAAUGGAAGCAGAAUGUUUUCAGCGCUGCAGAGGUGGGUCCCGUGCUGCAGUCCGUUUGAACAGGACUUUGAGGCGGUGCUGCUGAGCCCUCAGGUCCUGGACCUGCUGGGUGGAGGAGACUGCAACAAUGGAGAUGCCAUUGAUGCCUACCUGAAGAGACGGGUCCUGGCCUACCUCGAUGACAGCACAGAGGAGGACAAGGCUGACUGGUAGAAACAAUAUCUGGGGAGAUUGCCCAGUUGGCCCAGGCGGUCGCCAGCCUUUACCUCUUGGUCAGAGUAACUGGACGGGUCCCCCUGUCACCAUCCAUGUCCCUUACCUGCUGGCCCAGGCCCUGCUAUCCUCAAUCACUGAGCCUGGGGCCCUGACCUCAGCCCUGCUCGGCAGUCUUCUACUGGAUGGAGAGUCUGUGUACAGACUGGUGUGGAACCCCUUCCUGCUGCUAGCCAGCAUCAAACUGGUCAACUGUGCUAUCAAGCUGGACAGCCUUCAGUAAUGACGUGUGAGCCUCUGUUCUCUGAUGGAACCCUCCAGAACUGUCCAUCCAGUUCCACCAUGAAUGUGGCUUCGCCUCUCUGACCUACUAUGAGAACAACCCAGCCAAGGAGCACUUCUAAUUGGCCUAGAGAUGAACAUGAUGGCAGAACUUCCUUGCCCAGCUGAUCCUGGAUGUCAAGAGUAUGGAGGGGACUCCAGCUCCCGAGCUAGACGUUGAGCUGACCCUCUCCCCCACCCCACUGGCCUGCCUGCCCAAGAUGCACAGUCGAGCGCAUCCUGUCGUGCUUUAUCACCGCCUGGUACGGCAACUGCUCCGCCCACAACCGUAAGGCUCGCCAGAGGGUGGUGAGGUCUGCACAACACAUCACCGGGA